AUAUAGAACCAUAGCACCCUGAGAAUGCCCCAUCUGGUCUGAUUUGGGAAGCUAAGCAGGGUCGGGCCCGGUCAGUGCUUGGAUGGGAGACCAGGGGUACCUGGGGUGGGUUAGA
rnacentral:rRNA from 1 species